rnacentral:rRNA from 1 species
GAAUUUUGGACAAUGGGCGAAAGCCUGCACCAGCAAUGCCGCGUGCAGGAUGAAGGCCUUCGGGUUGUAAACUGCUUUUUUACGGAACGAAAAGCUUUGGGUUAAUACUCUGGAUUUAUGACGGUACAGUAAGAAUAACUACCUGCUAACUACGUGCCAGCAGCCGCGGUAAUACGUAGGGUGCAAGCGUUCAUCGGAAUUACUGUGCGUAAAGCGUGCGCAUGCGGUUUUGUAAGAAAGAGGGGAAAGCCCCGGGCUCAACCUGGGAACUGCCUUUGUGACUGCAAGGCUAGAGUACGGCAGAGGGGGGUGGAAGUCCGCGUGUAGCAGUGAAAUGCGUAGAUAUGCAGAGGAACACCGAUGGCGAAGGCAACCCCCUGGGCCUGUACUGACGCUCAUGCACGAAAGCGUGGGGAGCAAACA